UUAAGGGGGGUCAAUGGGGGGGUGGGGUUUUCCCUUCGGGGGAGCACAGUAGGGAAUCUUCGGCAAUGGGGGCAACCCUGACCGAGCAACGCCGCGUGAGUGAAGAAGGUUUUCGGAUCGUAAAGCUCUGUUGUAAGAGAAGAACGUGUGUGAGAGUGGAAAGUUCACACAGUGACGGUAACUUACCAGAAAGGGACGGCUAACUACGUGCCAGCAGCCGCGGUAAUACGUAGGUCCCAAGCGUUGUCCGGAUUUAUUGGGCGUAAAGCGAGCGCGGGCGGUUUAAUAAGUCUGAAGUUAAAGGCAGUGGCUUAACCAUUGUUCGCUUUGGAAACUGUUAGACUUGAGUGCAGAAGGGGAGAGUGGAAUUCCAUGUGUAGCGGUGAAAUGCGUAGAUAUAUGGAGGAACACCGGUGGCGAAAGCGGCUCUCUGGUCUGUAACUGACGCUGAGGCUCGAAAGCGUGGGGAGCAAACAGGAUUAGAUACCCUGGUAGUCCACGCCGUAAACGAUGAGUGCUAGGUGUUAGGCCCUUUCCGGGGCUUAGUGCCGCAGCUAACGCAUUAAGCACUCCGCCUGGAGAGCCCCCCCCG
rnacentral:rRNA from 1 species